rnacentral:sRNA from 1 species
UGAUCCUUUGCAGGUCCAGGUAGAGGGC